UCAAUUCAUGAAACCCCUCGCACUGUACGUACUAAAAUGAUUUUCGUCUGAUCUCCUCAUCAGUCAUUCUCGUUCCCUCUCUUUAGUAUGUUCUCUCCCUCCCAACUCCCUCGAUCCCUCAAAUGAAAACUCCGCCAUCCCUCCCUCCCUCCUUAUCAAGUAUCUCUCGCCGCAGUUCAAUUGGUUGCAUCACAAAGCAUUAGCCAUUCGACCAAUUUCUAAUUGAUGUUUCUUCAAUCAACCUGUCAAACUUCAAUCACCACCAAUCGAGGAAGACGAACAGAGAUUCCUCCGCAAGUUAUCGCGCCGUCGUCUGCUAAGGGUCGAAAAUGUCAAGGCUUUGCUUGAAGUGGAGGUUAAGAAUCUCCAAUCUUAUUUUUAUUUUCAUUAACGCAAUAAAGUAGCUAUCUUAUUUUUAUUUUCAUUAACACAAUAGCAAUAACAACAGCUAAUUCUGUAAUAUGGCCUGGGUCCGUAUGAGUAUAAUUAGUAACAGUGAGUUUGGAUUUGUGGAGGCAGAGUGGGGUGUCGCUGCAGCAACAAUAGUUGUUGUACAACCUGGGGGGUUGAUCACAAUGUGCAGUCUUUUCUGGAACCUAGAAUUCCAGAUUUUCUUGCUUUUCUCUUCAACUUUAGGUUCCCAGUCAUACUAUUGCAAAAUGUUUUGGAUCAUUACAUAUGUUGUUUUAGAUCUUCUACUCUAUAUCAUUUUCUGACCAGAAUUAUGGAAUGUAUGGUGAUGUGACAGACCGAAAGUGUAAUAUUUUUUUCGAGUCUUUUUCACUAAUGCAAGUCUAAGGUGAACUGUUAUGGUUGGUUCAAGACUUCGCUGCUGUAGUUUGUAUUUGGUACUUCCUAAUUGGUUGAUAGAAUGAUAGUAUAUACCACUAGACGGAUUGGAUCUUUUA